rnacentral:lncRNA from 1 species
UGGUGAUCCACACGAAAACUUGAUCAAGACUUUAGCUCCAAAGACUUUUGAUCCUUAAUGUAGAAUUCUUCUAAAGAACUCUAAUGGCUUGCUUUUCUUCCUUUCUAUUUUCCUUUAGCCUUCUAAAAUCACUUCUAAUCCUUUUGUCCUAAAGAAGACCACCUUGUCAUGGCUUAGGACACACUAGAAGCAAUGCUAGAAAGAAAGAAACUAAUGUAAGAAAGAAAGAAGAGAGGAGUGGGGUAGAAUUGGAAUGAUGAAACCCAUGGAGUGCUAACCUAUUUAUAAUAGGUGUAGGGAUGCAUCUCCAAGGGAUGCAUCCCAUCCACACAUCCUCUCAUGAAAGGGCAUCAUCUAAAGGGCCAUAUCAAAUAAGAGGAGGUGCAGAUCAAGUGAGGAGGUGUAUCAAAUGAUAUGUCCUUUCAUGUGGUGCCAUAUUUUGACCAAGUCAACAUCACAU